UCAAACUGAAGAUGGCGACCGGCGCACGGUGAGUAACACGUAUCCAACCUGCCGAUAACUCCGGAAUAGCCUUUCGAAAGAAAGAUUAAUACCGGAUGGCAUACGAAUAUCGCAUGAUAUUUUUAUUAAAGAAUUUCGGUUAUCGAUGGGGAUGCGUUCCAUUAGUUUGUUGGCGGGGUAACGGCCCACCAAGACUACGAUGGAUAGGGGUUCUGAGAGGAAGGUCCCCCACAUUGGAACUGAGACACGGUCCAAACUCCUACGGGAGGCAGCAUG
rnacentral:rRNA from 1 species